CCCACAACAGUUUUGAGAGAUUCUGUACCUAUGCAUUAUAUAACAGCAGCAUACGUAAGCUCAAGAAAUGUGUACUUGUGGCACUGAGGGACUUGGUUUAGUGGGCAUGGUAGAGAUGGUUGGACUUGAUGAUCUUAGAGGUCUUUUCCAACUUAAAUGAUCCUACGAUUCUAUGACAUCUAUCUGAAUACUGUGAUACAUUUGUCAUAAUGUCAAAUCUGAUUUGUUGUUUUUGCUCACUUAUAGCAUCCUAUGGAUGUCACUUUUGAAGUAACACUUAUAUUAUACAUGUGUAUAUAUACAUGUAUAUAUUAGACCUAAAGGCAAUUUUUAAAAAGAUUUGCCUAAAUUAUUUUAGAUCUACUAUCAGGAUAAGAAGAAAUGAGGUGUAUGGUUCUCUCAAAUCAAAACUACUCUCAACACCUUGCUUGGUAGACCUUAGAGAUGGUGGCAGAAGAUCACUGUGAGCAGUAAUGCUGAGCCAGAAGACUGUUUCAGAAUAUUCUAAUUAAGACCCAGUUUGAUUGGCAGCAUGUUUUGUCCUCAGUCAGCUCUCUAGACGUGCCCUUACAGGAGUGGUAUAUCUUCCCGUAUCAGGGGUUUCUCUGUCCAACCUAGCAAAGCAAAAGGUUAAGAUUGCUCUCCAUGAGUAUAUUUGAGAAUAAGUGCUGUUUCACCCAAAAGACUAUGCUACUGCAGGACAGGUACAUACAUCAUCUAUCAGUACAUUUGUGAAGGUUUCUAAACAUCAGAGAAGAGGGAUUCUGCAAUAUCACCCUGGUGUGAAUGUUGCGUUAUCAGUUGGUUCAUUUGUGAUUGCUUGCAAAGGCAGGGAACUGGUUUGCUUGACUCAAGACAUUGCUGCUGUUCCUGCAUUUCAUGGGCUUUGAGAGCAGAAGAGCUCAUUAGACCAUCUGGCUGGAACGCUGCACAAGCCAUAAACCUCACCCAGUUCCUCUCUAAUGAGAGUCUGCCAGCAGCCAGGACUCACUCAGGACAUGAAGUGGACAGUACUGACAGCAGGGACCGGUUGUAGCCAGGACACAGGAGUGGGCAUCAAGGAGAGCGUGCCUGUUCCCAGCUAGUUCCAUCCACAUUGUCUAAUCCAGGUAAAGCUCUGAUCUACACAAAAUCAGAUAUGGAAAGCACACGUAAGCAGGUAUAUAUGUAAAUGUGUAACAUCUCUGCACCAUCACAAUCAGAUGUUUGUAUAUGUAUGAACAAUUCUGCGCUGGGUAUCAUCCAACCAAACCUCUUUGUUUGGAUAACUUCCCAGGCUUUGUUUCUCUUUACUGCAGAGGACGCAGUGUUACCUCCACCCAGGCUCCUAAACAUUCUCUGGGUUGAUGGGGCCCUGAGCAACCUGGUCCAGUACCAGACCUGGAGAUUGGUGGCCCUGCCUGUGUCAGAGAACUUGAUUAUCCUUGGGGUGCCUUCCAAACCAAGCCAUUCUAUGAUUCUGUGAUGAUUCUAGUUCACCCUGCCUCAACUCCUCUUAAAGAUCCCACUGCUCAACAGGAUGCAGGACCUUGUUGCCUUGGGAAUGCCUUCAGAACACACAGUACCCUACCUAGGGCACGGUGGUCUGUAGCACCUUGGAGGUCUUUCUUCACACUCCUAAGUUGUUCUUUUAAUCCUAUUCACACUUGACAUGUCUUAUGCCCACGGCUCCCAGAUCCAGCUAUGAUAACAAGGUUUGAAGUUUUCUUGCUAAAGAUGUCAGGCACAAAGCUUGGUGGCCCACUUGGCUAAGGGCUGCUGCUGUUUGGUCCAAUAACUGCUGAAGUUCCUUUUCUGAUGUUUUCCUCACCACUGAGCACUUUCCACAAACCUAGGUCUCCAUUCUCAGGCAUUCCUUUGCUCUCCCUGGCCAUGCCCCUUGCUCUCUCUCCCUCAAGACUUGGCCUUCCAUUGAAGGAUCACAGCGAACCGCAGAACCUCAGCACAAGGCACAGGCUCAGCAUCAUCUACAGGAGGGGCACUCACCCAGCCCAAGGCACAGCCACAGCAAGUGCUGGGCACUGUGCUGCCCGUGGCCAAGAGUGUAGCAUAGAAAGGACCCAGAAAUGAGGGAGGCGAAAGUAGUACGGAGCAGUGCUUGGGUGUGUGGGGCCAUCUGCCACCGCAGAAGUACAAUGCCGGAUUCUUGAAAUGUAAAAAUAGAUCUCAAAAGCGACAUGUUUUAAUGAACUGAGCACAAAGGAACAUGGGCGAAAUAAACUGAAAACAGAAGCAAG